AUCCCUCCCACGCAAAAAACCCUCCUUCCCCAAACUUUUCCUCUGCCGCCGCUGCCACCCUCGCUGCCAUACCGACCUCGCCGCCACCCACAUCUAUCGGACCUGAAGCCGCCAGUUUUCGUCUCGUCAUCGAUCAGCCGCCGCAGUCGUAGCUCUAGACGACGUCACGUCGUCACGUCUGAAGGUCUCGGUCGAUGGUCGGUCGUGCCGCACGCCACAGACCUGCCGAGCUACGCGCCGAUCUUCCUUCACCAUUCACCGUAUCGUUUCCGAGCCAGCCGCCUGUUAGUUUCGUCCGCGCCACUCUUCUCCAACAAGCCGACGCUGCCGGGUCUCUUCAGCCCAGACCACUCACCGCCCUCGAAUGUCCUCGGCUCCCUCUCGUCGGAUUUUGUUUUGAUUUUGCCGGAAUCCUUGAUUUUGGGUUGGUUUUGGGUAUUUUAUGAAGAUUUUGGAGUCAAAGCUUGGAAGUGACUGUUGAUCAAGGUUGCUUUGGGUUCUAGUUCACACUCUUUACUCUAUCAUCAAUUUCUUACUUGGAGAACGAUAUAUUUAGAUUUAAUUCUGAGGUAAGAGUAGGGACGCAUUGGCGAGUGACAAGCGGAAUCCGCGAUUGAGCCAUUGGGACCAGUUUUAAUGCUUCCGCUCAUGAUAUUUAGAGUUCUUUAAUUUUUUUUUUUUUUUUUUUACUUUCACUCUUCAUGUUUGAAACUUAUUGAUUAGUAUUCGUUUCCAAACUUUUACGGUUUUCUAGACUCAUUAAAUUUCUAAUUAUGAUUUAUGGG